UACGUAGGGGGCGAGCGUUGUCCGGAUUUAUUGGGCGUAAAGAGCGUGUAGGCGGCCAGGUAGGUCUGCUGUGAAAACUCGAGGCUUAACCUCGAGCUGUCGGCGGAAACCAUCUGGCUAGAGUCCGAAAGAGGAGAAUGGAAUUCCCGGUGUAGCGGUGAAAUGCGCAGAUAUCGGGAAGAACACCCGUGGCGAAGGCGGUUCUCUGGGACGGUACUGACGCUGAGACGCGAAAGCGUGGGGAGCGAACAGG
rnacentral:rRNA from 1 species